GCCGAGAUAGCUCAGCCUGGUAGGGCGCAAGAUUGGAAAUCUUGUGUGUGAAAGCACUCGGGAGUUCGAAGCAUCCCUUGGAGCG
rnacentral:tRNA from 1 species